rnacentral:ncRNA from 1 species
AAUAAUAUUCGUAAGAUAACUCAUAUAGUUCUAGCAAUAAGGGCUAGAAGUUUCUACCAGAUACCGUAAAUAUCUGACUAUGGGUGGAUUUUAUGAAGGU